rnacentral:rRNA from 1 species
UACAGAGGGUGCAAGCGUUGUUCGGAAUUAUUGGGCGUAAAGGGCGCGUAGGCGGUGCGGUAAGUCUUUUGUGAAAUCUCCGGGCUCAACUCGGAGUCUGCAGGAGAAACUGCCGUGCUUGAGUGUGGGAGAGGUGAGUGGAAUUCCCGGUGCAGCGGUGAAAUGCGUAGAUAUCGGGAGGAACACCUGUGGCGAAAGCGGCUCACUGGACCACAACUGACGCUGAGGCGCGAAAGCUAGGGGAGCAAACAGG